rnacentral:rRNA from 1 species
AGCGAACGCUGGCGGCAGGCUUAACACAUGCAAGUCGAGCGGGCACUUUCGGGUGUCAGCGGCGGACGGGUGAGUAACGCGUUGGAACGUGCCCUCUGGUUCGGAAUAACUCAGGGAAACUUGAGCUAAUACCGGAUACGCCCUUUUGGGGGAAGGCUUGUGGCCGGAGGAUCGGCGCGCGUCUGAUUAGCUAGGUGGUGGGGUAACGGCUCACCAAGGCGACGGUCCGUAGCUGGUCUGAGAGGAUGAUCAGCCACGACGGGACUGAGACACGGACCAGAACGCGACGGGAGGGAGGAGUGGGGAAUAUUGGAGACGGGGGGCAAGUGCGAUCACGCCAUGCGGGGUGAGUGAGGCAGGCCGUAGGGUUGUAAAGCUGCUUUAUACGGGACGAUAAUGACGGUACCGGAGGAAUAAGCACCGGCUAACUUCGUG